rnacentral:lncRNA from 1 species
UUAUGCCAAAACUUAAAAAAAAUCUACUAAUGGCUAAAUAUAAAGUCCAAUCCAACCAAAAAUAAAAGGUUACUCUACUCAACCUACCCCACCCAGCCCAUUCGGCCCCAAUUACAAACAGAAAAGAAAAAAAAAAAAAAAUCGAUUACCAUCUCCCUUUCUCCCCUCACUCAAUCCACCGAAAUUCUAGACGAAGAGCCCUUCCCUCUCCUCCUCCUCCGCCAUUGUGACACCCCAAUAAUUCCACAUCGGAUGGGAAUGGGGUUGUCAUUGGGUUUAUAAGAGACUUAGACACUAGUAAUAAUAACUGGGCUUAAGCAUUUUGGGCCGGUGGUUGGGCCCAACGAGUUAUU